rnacentral:rRNA from 1 species
UACGGGGGGGGCAAGCGUUGUUCGGAAUUACUGGGCGUAAAGGGCUCGUAGGUGGCCAACUAAGUCAGACGUGAAAUCCCUCGGCUUAACCGGGGGAACUGCGUCUGAUACUGGAUGGCUAGAGAUUGGGAGAGGGAUGCGGAAUUCCAGGUGUAGCGGUGAAAUGCGUAGAUAUCUGGAGGAACACCGGUGGCGAAGGCGGCAUCCUGGACCAACACUGACGCUGAGGAGCGAAAGCCAGGGGAGCAAACGGG